UUUUUUUUUUUCUCAAACUCCUCUCUCUCACCCAAAUUGUAAAAUUUUUUGCUCAAUUCAGAUUGGAUGAUAUUCGGGUGUAUGAAGCCCCUGCGCUAAAUGUCACUGCUCUGAGGUUCACGGAGACAGCAAAGGCUAGGAUUGAGAAGGCGGGAGGAUAAUGCUUGACUUUUGACCAGCUUGCUCUUAAAGCUCCUCUUGGCCAGUACACAGUAUAGACUUUCAUCUCCUAUUCUCUCGUUCUCAUUUAUUGAUGAAUCCAAUAUUAAGUUUUUUGCUUUACAUGCUAUCACAAAAUACUGUGGUGGAUAUCAUUCUUUAAACUGAUGGUAACAAAUAACAAGUUUGAACUUAUUUACAAUGUCUCAUUUGGUUGCUAAAUUUCAGUGAGAAAAUAUUAAAAUGCUGAGAAAGCCUUUUUUUAUGCUCAAUUCAAACUGAAGAAAUCAAAGGUGAAUGAAUAUGACGAUAUAUAAAUACUUUUUUCAUCCUUUUACCUUUUCUGAUUAUGCUCACUAUUUCUAAAUAUUUUCUUCUAAUGCCUGGUUAGAAAUCCUUUCUCAGUAGGGGGUUUUGAAUUGUUCCCACUUGGUACACUAGAAGAGUUAACUUGUGGAAAAAUAGGUGUUCUUCUCCUCCUUGAAAGAAAGUCGUUCUAUUGCAGGAUAUUUGACGAUCAUUGUAUUCCAUCAGUAUUUUGCUUUCUCUGGUAUAAUUCAGAAUAAUUUUGUGAUAUGAUCCCACAAAUGGAGCCCUCGUUAAUUGAACUGGCUAGACAAUGAAUGGACGAAUUUACUGAACCAGCUGGUGUGCUGCUGGUACUCCUUAGAGGUCCAACAAAAUCUCAUGAAGCUGUGAAGCACGUUGGUCCGGCUCCUGGUGUACCACACAGUCACACAAAGCCUUGUGUCCGUGCCAAGGGAAGAAAAUUUGAGCGGGCUAGAGGAAGGAGAAACAGUCGAGGCUUCAAAGUUUCAAUUAUUACAGAAUUGAUGACAAAUUUUAUCUUUUCCAGAUUCCAAGCGAAAUGCUUUGGCAGUUUAGUUACUAUCGAUCCUUUUUGACAAUUUCUUUUCUUCAUCUUGGAAGCCAUUGUCUAUCUUUUGCACCCUCAUUAAGUGUACCUUUUAUAUUUGUACGAUAUGAAGUUUUGACCUUAGAAAAAUUUGGAAAUUAUUGCUGCGAAUCUCUAU
rnacentral:lncRNA from 1 species